GAUUGAGCUUUGCUGGAGGAUCCUCGUGGAUGGUUGCCUUGAGAUAAUGGGUAUGAUCGAUUGGGAACAGAGUUACCCAAACUUCAUGUUGGAUCUGACCGCGGAGGGGAAUACCCAUCCAAUAUUCAAAGAACAACUACCGGCAAUCAGACAAUGGCAGCGAAUAGUAAAGACACUUAUUUUCACCUUAAAGAAAUGAUGGAAAGCCAAGGGUCAGCCAUAAUGGAGGAAGACGAACUGUCUGUCAUUAAGACAGAAGGCAAAGAGACAACAACUAAAGAAGAAGGUGUAAAGACCUUAAUUGAGAAUGGGAAAAGGCAGAAAAGAAGUUCACGCAUGGGCAAUCGCCACUAAAACCAACAGAGCUCGAACAUAUCCAGUUUACAUGGCCUCAGCAAAGCAUCAAACUAGCCCAUGCAAACUGAGGGACAAUUGUAAGAGAGCAAAAACAUACAAUGAUAGAAUUUGGUCUUGCUAGGGCAGGAGCAUCCGCUGAGCUAUUGCUAUGAAGCAAACUCGAUGGUCCUCUGCGUAGGGGCGCGACCCAGACAUUACUGAUCACUGGCAUUGUCUAAGAUAAGGCCAUCGUUACCUCUGAGCUGUUGCUAUUUAUCAAGAUCAGAAUAAUAACUACAUUAAAGCUCGGACGAGGGGCAAUUACCAGCGACAGUCUCAAGGGAUGUUAGGGAACAAAGGGUGACUUGCACGUUGAAGUUUCUUUUGACAGUCGCUAUAUCCAGAUGGAGACUUCGGCGGUAUGAUGACGGACUACCGACUAUGCCAUUGCUCAGAAACCUUUAGUUUGGUGGCAGACUGAAGUCCCAUAAUGAAGGCUUUAUAUUCAGUUUCGUUGUUUAUUGUAGGGAAACUCAGCCUGAAGUAAUGCUAAAAUAUGGCUCCUUCUAAGCUUUUUAAGACUACUCAUGCCCCUGCUCCCAAACUAUUUUUUGCUCUAUCAACAAAUAUUUCCAUGCCGAGGUGAGAUCGACCUAAGGUGGUUCUAUAUUAACCUUUGGAAUCUUAAUGAUUUCUUCGGUGAUGGUUACUUCUGCACUUUGGGGUGGUUCUUUAAUAAUCUCAUGAUCUCUUUGCGAUGAUUGGAUUCCAACUGACUUUGCCCCUGAGCUUUCUUCCCCACUGUGUAUAGACGGAAGGCUACCUUGCUCUGGACUCAUAACCUGGGAAGAGAACUCAGCCACAAAAUCGACCAGGAUUUUUCCUUUUAUUGCUGCCCUUGGAAAUUUUUUUAUGUCCUAUUUUCCGAGUUCAACGGGCCAUUUAGAGAGUCGGCCGGAUAGGUCUUCUUUAGACAAAAUAUUUUUGAGCGAAAACUCUCUCUAUAUAGUGAUAGGAUGUGCUUGAAAGUAAUGUAUGAGUUUUCGUGAGGCUUAGACUAGGUCAACACGAGCUUUUCAAGUGGCAGGUACCUUGUUUCGUAAUCUGUAAACGUUUUACUAAUAAAGUAGAUCGAACGUUACUCUCCAUCUACCUCUCUUAGAAGUACCGAGCUAGUGGCAUGCUUAGAGACAACAAGGUAGACAUAAAUCAACUCUCCCUCAUCCGGAGUGGAAAGCAGCGGUGAUUCUAUCAGAUAUUUCUUAAACUUGUGGAGAGCGAGAUAGCACUCCUCAAUCCACAAAAAAAUUCAUUCUUGUGAAGAAGUUUGAGGAAAGAACGGCAUUUGUCAGAGUACUUAUUGAUAAAUCAGUUAAGUGCUACUGCCAUCCCGGUCAAUUUUUGGACCUCCUUCGAAGUCUUCGGGCUAACGAGGUUGUUGAUCCCUACAAUUUGCUCUAGGAUUGCCUCGAUUCCUUAUCUUAUCACCAAGUGUCCAAUGAACUUUACCGAGCUUACCCUAAAGGCGUAUUUUGCCCGUUCAACCUCAGUUUAUGCCUUUUGAAUAUCACGAACACUUCGGUCAGGUCCCUCACAUGGUCUGACUCUUUUUUGUUCUUAACCACCAUAUCAUUGAUGUAUGCAUCUAUGUUUUUACUCAUGAUUGGCUCAAACAUCUUGGUGAUCAUCCUCUAAUAUGUGGCACUGGCAUUUUUUUAGCCAAAAAGAUAUGACUUUGUAACAGAAUAAGUUGCAGGGGGUGAUGAAGGCAGUCUUCUCUUGAUUUGGCUCUUAUAUUGCUAUUUGGUGGUAACCUCGGUAAGUAUCUAGGAAACUCAUCUGGGUGUGACCCAAAGUAGAGUCUAUCAACUGGUCAAUAUUUGGCAAAAGAAAAUAGUCUUUCAGACAAGCUCAGUUAAGGCUUGUAAACUUGAUGCAGACUCUCCAUUUACCAGUCUUUUUCUUUACCACGACUUUGUUGGACGACCAUAUCAGGUACUUCUUGACCUCCUCUAUCAUAGUGCCCACAUGCUCGAUCGCAGACUUUCUUCCUCUAUGUUUCAUUGGUUAGGUUUUGGGGAGAAUGUUCAACUCGUGUUUGAUGUAGUUGGGGUUUAUCUUAGGCAUCUCACAAGGUGUCCAUUUGAAGACCUCAAUAUUCGUUGUGAGGAAUUGGAUGAAAUCGAUUCUCUCUCGUUCCUUUAGGUUUACACUAGUGAGAAAGAAAUAAUCCAAGUUUGGCUCAUCUAGCUCAUAGCGUAUCAAGUUCUCCAUGACCUUAGCCUUAGGAUCCCUUCCGACGUCUUCUAGAACCUCAUGCUCUUCCUUAAUCAGUUGCACAUCUUUCAUGACCAUCUUAAUGGAGAUUGUAGCAAGGUAGCAUUGUUUGGCUGCCAUCUGAUCUCCAUAAAGGGUCUUCUCAUCUCGGGAAGUGGCAAAUUUAAUAACUUGGUGCAAUAUGGAAGCCACUUCCUUCAUCACGUGCAACCAAUUUCGGCCAACGAUUGUAUUAUACGGGGAAGGUAUAUCGACUACAACAAACUCUAUCACCAGCUUUUAAGAACCAACUCGGAUUUUGAGAGUUGCAAUUCCAAAAGGCUAGUGAGACUAAGCAUUAAAAUUGACUAGAUGGGCUUAAGCGAGUUUUAAGUUUGAUUUUGAUAGUUUAAGUUGUUUGAAAAGGUUAUAGUACAUCACCUCGACAGAGCUUCCCAUGUCUACCAAGAUCCUUUUCACAUCGUAAUUGUUGAUCUUUAGCUGAAUGGCCAAGGGGUCAACGUGGGCGUGUUGGACCCUUUUCAAGUUGACUUUGAAAAACGUGAUACUUUCUGGUUCAGACAUUGUCUGCUUCAACUUCUUAGCUGUUGAUUGCACCAAGAGGAUCUCAUUUAUUUAUCUAAUCAUGCGAAUCUCCCCUCGGAUCCUAUUCUCAAGAUUGGGGUAAUAUGAGCUCUCUAUCAUGUGAAUGAUCCCUAGGGGAAGAUCUUCUUAUAGGGUGUUGUCCAUUUCUUUAUUUCUUCUGUCAAACAUGGGGUUUAAUUUGGCCUCGGCUUUCAAUGCUAUGGUUUUUUCCUGGUCAACGAACUCUUUUAAAUGUCCAUCCCAGACGAGCUAAU
rnacentral:lncRNA from 1 species